AUUGAACGCUGGCGGCAUGCCUUACACAUGCAAGUCGAACGGCAGCACGGGUGCUUGCACCUGGUGGCGAGUGGCGAACGGGUGAGUAAUACAUCGGAACAUGUCCUGUAGUGGGGGAUAGCCCGGCGAAAGCCGGAUUAAUACCGCAUACGAUCCACGGAUGAAAGCGGGGGACCUUCGGGCCUCGCGCUAUAGGGUUGGCCGAUGGCUGAUUAGCUAGUUGGUGGGGUAAAGGCCUACCAAGGCGACGAUCAGUAGCUGGUCUGAGAGGACGACCAGCCACACUGGGACUGAGACACGGCCCAGACUCCUACGGGAGGCAGCAGUGGGGAAUUUUGGACAAUGGGCGAAAGCCUGAUCCAGCAAUGCCGCGUGUGUGAAGAAGGCCUUCGGGUUGUAAAGCACCUUUGUCCGGAAAGAAAUCCUUGACUCUAAUACAGUCGGGGGAUGACGGUACCGGAAGAAUAAGCACCGGCUAACUACGUG
rnacentral:rRNA from 1 species